CUCCUGAUCAUAAGACAUUUGAACUAAUUUUUACUUUGUGUGAAUUAUAUCCAUGAAAGUAAUAAUAAUAGCUAGAAAUACUUUUUUAUUCUUUUUCCUAUCCACACUUCUGCCCUUCCCUGCAGGUGCCAGGGAAGAUUCUAUUGCAUCCAGGGCAUAUAACAUUGUAUAUUUUCUGAAAAUUUAGAACUUUCAGAGAACUGAAAUGAAUUUUACAUUAACGUAUGUCAGAUCAUGACAAAAGAACAUGUCCAUAUAUUUUCUUGGACCAAGUCAUUGUAAAAGGAUCUGCUCUUAAGAUCUGGAUGCAGACUUCAUUUAAAUGUAAUGGCACAAUAAAUAGAAUUCCUAAGUUACAGUGUACACAUCCUCUCAGGUGGAUAUUGGUUUGAGGAAAAAAGACUUUCCCUAGGCACAGGGAAAUUGGUAGGACACUACCACAUGAAGUACAAAAAUGUCCUUCAUUCUUUCUGAGACUCCAAGCACAGUCUUUUUCAUAUCUUGUUCCUUUCAUUGCUGACUGUGUGAAAGUGGCCUCCAUGAAAUUUGAAGCAAUUAAGUGAAUGACUUAGCAAGAGAAUGAGUGAAAAACACUGUAGUCAACAUAUCUACCAAUGUGCCUCAGAGACAGUAUGACAAUAUGAAAACUGAGAAAAUAGAAUUAAUGUUCUGAUAUCAGUAAUUACAGUUAUCCUGUUCUUAUAAGUAAAAACAAUACUGUCCCCUAAAGUCUGCUCUUGAAGUUGACAGUUCACUGAGUGAUCUGUUCAAGGUUAUACAAAAUGGUUUGGAUCUCUAAGAUUAGCAUCCAAUCUGUCCUAUAAUAGCUCUUUCAACAGAGUAAAUAAUGGAAGGUUUAUCCCAUGUUUUUUCUUCUCUAAACCUCUUCUGGGCUGUCCCAGCAGCCUAGAAGUUGUAACAUGCAGUAUCAUUGCAUGUCCCAGAGUACUUAACCCAGUUUAUAUACUAAAUACAUAACCUUGCCAUUUGUCAGCUGUAUAAUUUGCUUUGAAAAAAUAUGCUGUCAAGAUUAUUUGUUUUUAUUCAAAUUCCUUCUAGAGUCAUGUUAGGCAGCCUCAUUGCUUUUUAUGCAGGACUGGGAAAAAGCCUCAUUUUUGACUUAGCAGCAUGUUUUAAUCACAGCAGCAGAGAUUCUGGCCCUCUGGGCUUACUUAGAUAUUGUAAAAGAGUGCAGUUUCAAAUCAUGUCAGCUAAUUUCUGUAAAAUAGAAAUUUAAAAUACUACUUCAAAACCCACAUACACAAAGAUGAAGGUAGUCAAAUAGUUUAGUCUAGAGGAAUUAUCUUCUUUGCUUAUACCUCACUAUUUUGCAACACAUAGAAGCUUGCAAUUUAAAUAAUUUUGCAUUGCACCAGCUGGAAAAAACAAUUACUGUUUAAAUACUAGUAAGUGUCCAGGCUGAUUUGGACCUGUCCUACACAGUGUAGAAAAUGCAUUAAUAGGUAUGUUUUUGCUUAAAACUAUUUAUAAAUAUGCAUAUAUGUUUUCAAUAGAGUUUGAAUUUACAUAUUGCCACAUCUCAUGUUUACAUAUGGAGAAAAAUUAUUAAUUUAUAUAGGCAAUGAUUAUACCAAUAGUUUUCUUUAUUUCAAAGGUAAUUCGAGCACUAACACUUUAAUUGAUGUACAUUCUAGUUCUUAGAGUGCUCAGUUUGCAGUAGGCUAAAUACCUGAACUGGAAGACUCCUUUAUUCUUUAUUUAUUUCUCCUCUGCGUGUGCCGGGUGCCUUUUAAUCUGUCCAAACGCUACGGAAAAUUACCGGAACAAAAGCAAACCCUCAAAUGAAAUUGCUAAUGCUGUUUUGUGAGGCUCCCUUUCUAGUUUUUGAUUCACGAGAUGAUGGUGCAGUAACUGGGGAGCUCAAAGUAGCCGUGGAGGCCCCUCCACACGCCGCGUUCAGUCUGUGAGGAGCGCGAAGACGACUCCGAGGCAUGAAAGGAAGUUUGCCUGCAGAAGUUCCUUCUCCCAGUGUAAAUACAUGCUUGAUAGCGCAUCAAAGAUGAGAUCUUUGUAAUUCUUACAGUAUAUUUAAUGUAUAAUUCAUAUGGAAGGGACGCUUGAUUUGUAGUUGUAAAGUUUUGUAUACUUUUCAGUCUGUUUGUUUUUAUAUUUCCCCCCUAAGGCUAAGAAUCUCUCCACAAUGGACAACGUCUUGUAAAUAAUUAAUACCUACAUGAUUGAAUGAUGUGCUUUAUUUGCAUUUUCAAGAUUUUUUCCUACAUAAAACAGUAAUAAAAAUGCAAGUCAAAAUUUUAAUUUUUAAUAAAAAAACCAUAAGCCUUAGAAAACUGAUUAAAAAUACUUUUAUGUUAUCCCUAAUCACCCCGCUAAAUGGAAUGCCUGUGAUUAGCCUCAUUAAGAAUUUUAUACUGUGAAGAUUUUAUUAAAAGCAAUAUAUGAAAAUUACUUGGAUUAAUGUGUUAAUCUGCCUCUUUAAAAUGCUAAUAUCCAUUUUAUGCACAUUAAAUCUCAGUAUGUGUUUUCUUUGAUGCAUGCAGUUCCUAUCAAUUAAAUAUAAAAAAUUAGGCUAGUUGCAGGACUUAUUAAAUUACUGCAACCUUUUUUAAAUAACUUUUACCCUUCUACUAACAUUAUAAUCAGCUGUUUAUGGUUACCAUAAUUUGAAGUAGGGGGAGGGCAGGCACAAUCAUUUUCUGUACAGUAGAAGAUUUACUUUCAGCCAACAUCUGUCAAAGCACAAAAAGAAGGCAAAGUGUGAGAUUUUGCUUCACCUACUUUGGACUGUAGGGAUGGGCAACUGUGUUUUCAUUUGGGUUUUGUCACUUUUAGAACUUACAUCAAACAUAUACAAUAAAUCGUUGUAUCUGAAUAACCAGUGUCUAGCAUGGAAAGUUAAUUUUACAGCUUUUAACCAAUCUCAGUGAAGGAUUUAAUUGAUAUUUUUAAUGGAGCUGUGAAUCAAUGCUGCAAAAAGGAUUGUCUCUUGAGAACGAGGAUAUAAUACAUUUCAUUUUUUAAUUUACUUUUUUAUUUGUCAUUUUCUUCAAAGGAUUUUAUAGACUGUGGAUUUCCACUGUUUGCAAACAGGCUAUGUUUCUUCAUAAGCAUAUGUAAAGUAUUCAGAGAGAUAAGUAAUUUAUUAAAAUCUACCUAAUUUGCCGUGAUAUAUUAAAUCUCUGCUUCAGUGAUCACAGACCAUUUCAUUUAGAGAAUUAGGCAUUCCCUCUUUGUGUGAUUAAAGCUCUGGAAAAUGAGUUCUUUGCUCCUAUUUGUGAACAUUCAAAGCCUGCUAAUGGCAAGAAGAUGGAAUAGAUUAUGAGACAAUUCAUUACAGUUCAACAGAAAAAAAACCCUGCUAUAAUGCAGAAAUGCAAGUAUGAAUAUCUGCAUAUAGUUUGAACCAUCUGUGCUCUAAUGGCUUCAGUAAUGGCUCUUCGUCUUCAGUAGGCUUUGAAAUGACAUCCAUACAAUAUUAAUUUGUUGAUGUACAUUAUGAGGCCAAUGGAAUGAAUAUAUUCUGACCACAGAAAUCUCUGAAUUCCAACAUGAUCCGCUGGUUGACUCCAUUUUAGGACCUACCAUCUUCAGUAGUACUUCUCAUCCAGGCUUUGCCAAUCCUCACAGCAUUUCAUUCCUCUGGAACUUUUAGGAGACCACAGACAGCUGCAUUCCUAAACCCCUCCAUUCUUCAGUUAAUGGCCAUAUGUUUGUUGUCAUUUGGGCUGGCGCUUAGUUCAUCAUUUUGGCCACUAUUUCUAGCUUUUUUUGGCUCUGUGCAUCUAUAUUGUCAAUAAGACUGUUAUUAUACAUUACAAUAAUUUGAAACAGCCAGAUUCAACACUGAGAUUAACUGAGUGGCUUUUGAGAAAUUUGGUUGUGGUAUUCUAUCAGGAGGUUCUUAUUAUUCUUCUAAUACUUUGCAAACCAAACUAAAUAUCCUGCACAUAAACAAAGAAGCAAAUUGUAUUGAGUUUUCGUGUGUUACUGUUUACUGACUUGCAGGAGAACUAUGUUAACUGGUGCUUGUUUUCUUCUGAAAUAAACCAUGUGGUAAAAUUAGAAAAUCAGUGAUGUUCAUCUCACUUAAACAUUUACAGUAACACCCUUAGCACUUAAUCUUCGCCAUCUGAAGCUGAAAACUUAGAAACCAAGCAUUCAUAUAUUCAUUAAACACAGACCUCUUCAUAUAUUCAGUCAGUUACUGCAAAAUAUUCCAGUUGACAUUUGGUUACAUUGUGUUAACUGUUCUCAGUGACUCCAACAUUAACAUGUAUAAUUUGCCUCAGGUUCCUAGACAUAUUUCUUUGUAAGGCUCACUGUUACUCAGUUUUGGAUUUUAAAAAAUAAUCUUGAUUUCUGUUCAUGUUUAUUGCUAAAGCAGAUACAGUAUUCAGCAAGGAUUUUCCCGACAGAUGGAUUGUAUUAUCUUAUGCAACAUAAACAUGCGAUCAUACCAGAAAGUUUUGUUCUUACAUUAAGUAGUCUGUAUUUCCAGUAUGCUCUUAAAUCUUAAGUCUAAAUGCUACACUGUGCAGGGCAAGUGGAAAAUGUAACAUAGUACUGUUUUGGCUAGAUUUCAGCAAUGAAUAGCUUGAAGAAAUCUUAUGUCUAGGUACUCUUUAGACUAAGGUACAAAGGAGCCAUGUUAAUGUUGGGUACUACCGUGCUUUAAAAUGUUACUCAAUUAAUAUUAAUUUUUGUGGCAUAGAUAAUUUUUUUCUAUGGCAUAACUUGGUCUCAACAGUGGUCCUGCAUAAGAUGAAAUGGCAGUGUCAAAUGAUCAGUUUUAUUUUAUAUCUUUUCCCAUUUAUUAUUAGAGCUUAUAGCUUUACUAUGAUUAUCUUCUGAUGUCGUAAAUAAUAGCUGGUAUUCUCCAGGUGUCCCAGUAUGUUUAUCAAGGUGGAAACAUUUUUAGGUCAAAAAAACUUAAUCUGUUUUAAAUGUUGCAUUUAACCAUUUAUAACCUUAACCUAGGGAUGGAAGUUACAAGAGUAAAUACAUCAUGAACCAGGUAACAUCUCUGUGAAGUCAAUCAAUCUUUCUGUAGAGUAAGUCAUAGCUUAUCUCAUAUCAUGAUUAUAAGAGUAGAUAUAACAUAAAUUUCCACCAAGUUUUGUGAAGCUGUUGACAAAACAUAGCUAUGUUUCUCUUAACAGUGUGGUUUGCUCAGGUAACUUUUCUGUAGAUUUCAUUGGUAAACAAUUUUUUGUGAUUUAUUCCUGGGUUGGGUUGUUGGUUUGGUUUUUGUUUUUGGUUUUUUUAUGUUAAACUGAAAUUAUUUUAAGAGUAAGAAAACAAACUGAUAGAUGAAACAAGACCAGUCUCAAACUGAAAUUAUCCUCCUCAUGACCUUUGUUCAUGAAUUCUUAACACAUUCUAGAUUUUCAAAGCAACUGUUUUCCCUGACCUGUGAGAAAUAGGGAUAUAAACCUGUAACCUCUGUCUGCACCCAUUCUCUGUGUUAAAAUAUAUCUUACUUCAGUAGUCAAACAUCAGUAGCUGCAACUGUGCAAGACAGGUCUUGCACAUGAUCUAGCAAUGAUUUGUUUAACAUUUUUGUGGAUUUGGAAAAAUAAUCUAUUUUCUAUUUAUACAAACUGUCAUUCUUGUUGGAUGCAAAAAUAUUUCCUUACAUAUUAAAGAUGCAAGAACUGAACCGUCCUUGAAAAACCAUUGGAAAAAUGUGAUCCUACUCUACAACAAAAAAAAAAAUCAAUCAAGUGAAGUUUCUUUUGCUUGAAGAACUGUUACCAACCAGUAAUAAUUCUGAUUACCCACUCGUAAGUAUAAAUAGCUACAAUAGCUGAUAGCCUUUGAAUUCAAUGAUAAUGAAAACCAGAAAGUGUUCUACCAUAUAUAGGGCAAUUUUCCCAAAGAAAGGAAAGGAGGAGACACCAAUCAGCCUCUGAUUCCAAACACACAGUACAUGAACAGUAAUUAAACAUGGCAAACUUAAGAAGAGAACAUCAGAAAAUCUUACAGGAAAUCUUUUUACUUUUUGAAAACAUUUCUUAACCUUCUUCCCUCUGCAAUAAGCAGUUAUUGUAGUGUACGAAAAUCAGGCCCAUUUGGAAACUUUCCAAUAGGUUGGUAUUGUCAAUGGUAUAAUUUACAUCUUAGAUGAAAUGCACAAAAAUGGAUCUAUUUAUAAAGCAGUAUCAGUCGUGUAUCAGCAUACAGUAAAUAUAACCUGAGCAACAAUAGAUAUGGGGAAAUUUUUUAUCUAUAGUUAAGGCAAACAAGUUAGUGUAACUUGUAAUUUGUUUUAGAAUGGAAUUUACAGUUAUUUACUCAAAAGUCUGUGAUAACAGAGAUCUUCACAGAAGUUUGUGAAAGUAAUGUGGGAUUACAUUUCCACUCACAACAUAAGGCAAAUAGAAUAGUGGCCUGUAACAUAGGCCCUGUACAGCUAUUGAUGGAUCCUACAACAGCGUAUGUUGUGAAAAGCACUGACUGGGGUAGCUUUGUUAAUCUCAGUAUUUCUCUGAGUUGGCCUGUUCAGGGAGAGCACAGAAGUUGGCUGUUAGGAAGUCUGUAGAGUGUGAGACGUGCUGUUUCUCCAUUUUCAUCCUUCUCUGGAGGACUGUCUCCCUACAGCAGGGAAGUGGGAGAAAGACUUUUCUACUAAUGGUGAGUUUUGUUUUUAAAAUCAAUGUACAAAAAGGCUUUGGGCAAAAUUAGAUGCUGUAAGUCAAAAUAGUUUUUGUGUUUCACUUGCACUGCAGUAAGCAGGAAGUCCAUAUUUGAUCAGGCCCAUAACCUUAAUUCUUGUUCAUUGUAAAUUUUGGUGAGCUGCUCUGGUGACAGAAAAAAAACAGAGCACAGAAAGAUGUGGAGCAAAGAGAUUACGCCCUCAGAAUUAGUUUGUACUUAAGAGGGCAGCAGAUUGGGUUAUUUCCAUAUUGUGACUGUAGAUAUUGUCUCUUAGAAUUUCUUUCCUGUUGCACUCAGUGGGUUCCAGAUAUUUUCUUUGUAACUGGAGGGCACUGCUUCAAAAAUCACAGUAUCACAGAAAAGCUGAGUUUGGAGAGGUGACUCUGGAGGUUACCUUGCCCAACCCCACCAGUUCUCCAAAAGUUUCCUUCCCUCCCAACAGAAAGAACCCUUGGAAAGGUACCAAAUAAAAGCAUUUGUUAAUUUGGUGACAGAGAGGCUUUUUAUUCAAAAGAGAGUUGAAAUUACACAGCCGUUUUCUGGAAGCUUCCCUUCUGUCUUCGUUCUUACCAUGUGAAGAAAUGAGGCUUUACAAUUAAAGAGGGAAGAGGCAUAACUACUUGUGACUGUUCUGUUGGAUUUAAGCUGAUUCCUACACAUCUGGGAGAAAGCAGAAAGGAUGAACAAUCUUUUCAUAAGGUUUCCCACUUCUGCUGAGGCACAUUGAGGAAAAUCCCUGUAACCACAGACCACCUGGACACAGCCCCUGCCCUGCCCAGGUCUGGAGGCAGCAGGAACAGCCUGGACAGAAAAAGCAAGGGUAGGACUUGUGAGAUUAAAGAGCUGUGUCUACCCUAGAGUAAAUUCAGUGGCUGCAAAGGAUUUGGUGUUUUUGAGUGCCUGAGAGGAAUAUGGUCUCCUUCUUGGGGUUGCUGUGUGUCAGUGAGGAAAUGGAGGGAAAAUGUGGGUCUUAUGUGGAAGAAGUCACAUGGGACAUAUCCUGGGAGACAAGGAAGGAGAAAAAGUAAGAUGAGGAAAUAGAAAAUAGAGAAUUAAACAUUGUAACAAAACAGGUGUCCUGUACAAAGAGCUUUCCCACUGAGCUUCUCCUCAGCACCUGUAACAGGCCUGGUUUCAGAUAGAGUGGAGGGAGGGCCCAGGUGGGGAUCCUGGAGAGACGCAGGCAGGAGUUGGUGUGAGUCUGACUUUUGUCUUUGUUCAUUUGCCUGUUUUAGUAUUGAGCCUGAUUUCCUAAAGCUUUUACAUUAGAAAAAAGGAGGUGUUCAUAAACCUGUACAGCAUUUUUGCCUUGGAAGGACGCUUCCCAGGGUUUUAAUAGCAGCAAGUCUGUCACAUACAGGUUAUUUUGUACAAAGGGAAGAGAAAGGACACUGAACUUCCCAGUCUGUUUGGCUGUCCCUCCAGGGUGACCCUGAUGAACCACAUCUUCUACUGUCCAUUUGAUAUCAAACUCAGGAUACAAGUGAGUAGGCAAAUGAACUGGAAGUUGAGUCCUGGCAUGCAACUCAUGAAAGGCACAGAGACGGGAAAACGUCGAGGGGAGGAAAAGGGGGUGGUGGAAACCAACAGUUUGGUUUCACCUGGAGUUCAGUCCUGUCAAAACACAGGAAUAAAACAGCAUGAUGCUUCUCAGGCUUAGGUUAAAAGGCAAAAAACCCCCAACCAAAUAACAAAAAAAAGCCCACCCCACCCAGUAAUUUGUAAAACAUCAGAAAUUAUGGGAUCAUGAGGUAAUCUCAAGUAAUCCCUUUUGGUAAAAUGUCUGGUCUGCUUUUUUUUUACUAUGCUUUUUAUGAUUAAUUUUCCUUGUAAAGUAGUACUGUUGAUACCAGUUACACACAUGCUCUCUGAGUAUUAACAUGAAAAUGUAAGUUCAUUUCAGGAACUGCUGGAGGGUGGAUGUUAUUCACAUUUUAUAAUCCUUGUUUAUGUUAUGCCUUGUCUAUUAAGUAAAAUAGUUUAAGUGCACUAAGUGAAAUGGGAGAUUUAUAUUUUAAGGUGGGGUUAUGUUUAGAGAAAUAGUUGUUAUCUACAUCACUGAGAAAUGCACAGUGCAUUUUCUUUGGGCUUAAAGCCAGACGAGACAUUCAUAAUAAGUUAUUCUGACUCCCUAACAAAGGCUCUUGAAUUCAGUUACCUGCCUGAAUUAUUGAAGGAUCUCAGGACACUUGAGGAGGAAGGUCUGCAGUCACUUUCUCACAUUGUUACUGCAGUUUAACAUCCAGUGUAUUUUACUCUCAAGCUUGAAGCUUAAAUGUAACGUGAAGGUUUGUCUGAUUUGGUUGCCAUUAUUUGACAUCCUUCGCUUGAAAUUAUGAUUCUACCCAAAUUUGCUAAAAAUUCACCUUAGGCCUAACCACUUCAUUUUGUGAAACAGAUAUCAAGACUAAAUCUAGUUUUGUGUGUUUAUUACAAGUGUUAUUGUCCUCCUUGACUAGUUUUGGUGUGAAAAUAUUUUCAGUGCUACUUCUCUACUUACACCAAUCUGAUAAUUUUGAAAAUUAAAUAUAAAUUUGAGAGGAAAAUCAAUUAGUUGCAUAUUAAAUUAUAUAUGUUAUAUAAUACUUUAAUAAAAAAAUCAUCAUCGUGUAAUAUAGUGAGACACACUUGGAAAAAGUACUACUUUAUGUCUGACUUUUUCUCCUUUAUUAGCAUGCCUGGGUUUAGCAUUUGCUGGAAAGGGAAAUGCAUGGCAAACUUUUGUAUUCUGACUGAUUCAAAAUUUGAUACACAAUAUAGUACAGCAGUUUAUUCUUAAAUAUGAAUUUAUUAUUAAACAUAAUAUCAUUAUGCAUAUUAAAAUCACUAAUAAAUACUUUGCUAUUUACAUCAAUUUUUAUAUUAAUCCAUGCUGUGGUUUUAGGGUGUUAAAUUAUUGCAUUUAUAAAUCGUUUAUUCAAGGAAGAAUUAUUUAUCAAAAUAUAAUUGUGGAAAAAAUAAUCUUUUUGAGAUUGGUUUCUCACAAAUCCUAUGACAGCAAACUAGAGGAAUAUAAUUGUCCUUCUCUUUCAUUUCUCAACAGCUUUGAGACUGUAGUUUGUUAUUUUACCUUGCAGCAUUUUUCUAGUGUAUACACCAGAUAUUUCCUCAGCACGCUGCCUGGAGAAGGAAGUGGGAAUUUAAAAAUGAAACCUUCCAUUUUACAAAAUUGAUAUAGACCACCCAGUAAAGUCAGAGCACUGGAUAUGGAUGAUUGGAGUAAUACUUGACUGGAAUUUCCCCUGCUUCUUCCUAUAAUGUUUUUAGUGACACUGAAGAGACUUGGGACUUGAAGGGUUUAAAUGCUGCAAAUAAGUGAUUCAGUCUGGGGGUCAACAAGUACCCAAAGAUGCUGCAGUCAGAUGGUGCUGAGAUCCCUCCUUCUUCACUAAGAUUCCUACAAUCCAUAUUUCAGUGUCAAGCAGAAGUGAAGACAGUCACUUGUGAGGAAUAUGGAAGCUGAGCAGUAAGUGGAGGUUUGAAAAAGAGAAAAUGCCAUCUUUCACCUUCGCAUUUUUAGGAAGAAAACGUCACGUUAAUGUGAGUAGUUAUCAAGUAAGGUAACGUUUUGUGUGGUUAUGUAGGUUGUCAAAAUUCUUUAUUAGCCUCCCUGUAGAACCACUGGGCACUUCAGAGGGAGAGAAGCAGGAGCACUCGGCCUGAUGGUUUCUAUUUGUCAUGCAGCACAUAUUGUGUUUCCAUCCGUGAGGGGUUUUUGUCCCUUACCUGCCCAUGGAUUGCGAGAUGUGAUAGAACAGCUGCAGGACACCAUCUAGUGGUGCCGAGCCCGAGCUAAUUACAGACUUUAUUUUACCUUUCCUUGUCUCUUUUUAAUUCACAUUUCUUCUCACUGCUGACACCACAAGGGGAAAUUCUGGCCCAGUCAGAAUAUCCAGAGUCUUCACACACUGAACAAUGAAAGAUAAUAUCGAACAUGCCUUAAAUGAUAGAGCCAUCACACUCUGCCUUUUUCCAUAAAGGUGCAGGUGCUUGGCAAUUUUGGGGUUUGGAUUAUGAGUGUGAAUGGGUUUGAGCUAUGAACAUACAUAUUGUGGGAAAAUUCCUUACAGUAUAUAGACUUCUGAAACAAAUACGAAGUAUCUAAAAGUAGGAAAAAGUGUAUCUAAAGGUUAUUUAGAUGUGCAAUAAUCAUACAUACAGUGUUUGCUACGAGUACCAAGCCAUAGCAAAAGAAAGUCUUCGUGAGGCGAGUAAUAUAAAAAAAGCAUUCUAGGCCUGAUUAAUCUCUCAUAUUGGUCAAAACACAAAGAUUUUGUGAAAUAGAAUUCAUUCAGAUUUGGUAUGACUAGGAAGGGAACCUAAAAAAACCCUUGAAGAAAAUUUAUUAGACAAAAGUUAGCCACUUUCUUGUCAGAGUAUUAUUUCUAUAGUUAUCAAAAAUAGGAAACUUUGGACUAUAGUGGGGUUAGGAGGAUUAACAACGUUGUGUUCAAAGUCCUGAUAAAGUAUUCCUCACAAUCCUUGGUAUCAAUGUCAAAAUAUUAUUCCCAUUGUGAUAUAGUUUUGCAACAUCCCGAACAUGUACACUCAGCACCAAAACAUUGUUCAAGCCACAGAAUUUUGCAGUGACAUCUACGUAACAUGUAAAUGAGGAUUUCAUUAUCCCCUUUCAUUCCUCAGCAAGAUCAGGACCAGAGGCAAGACACUUGGAGGAACAGUUAGGUCUGAAAAGCCUACUGAUGUAAGUAACCAAGUAAAAAAGAUUUCUGGGAAUGUAACCUUCAAAGGAGAGUUGAUGUGAAGAAAGUUAGAGCAGGACAAAGAAAACAGAUGGCAGGAAAGAGAUUAGUAAAGAAAAGGAGGUAAGAGGCGACUGCUACUCUGUGUCACAGUGGAAGGUAGAUAAUUUGGGAUAUUAGCCUAAAUGGAAGUUGUGCAGCACUUCAGUGGUGUGGGCAAAGAGCUUGCAUUUGAAACACUGAAGAACAGGAAAUUGCCAAAGGGUUUUAGAAAUCUGAGAGAGUGGUUUGGCCAGAAUAAUUACGUUAUUAACUGACUGAAGACUUUAAAGUGGCAUUUUAAGGACGGGGAAUAGGAGAAGGUUACAAUAAUUGAGACAAAAUGAUAACCUUAGCAUGGUAUUUUUGCUGAUAGCUUAGGAACAAAAAUAAAUGCACCCUGUAUGCAUUGAUUUUUAAAUUUCUCUGUAAUUUUUAUACUUGAGAUUGCAUGGAUUUUGUUGUCAUCUUCCAAACCUUGACAAAUUACUUCAGUUUUGGUAUAGCACUUUUGUAAUUGUUCUACUGGGCUCAGAAAAAGUCUAAUUACAAACAAAAAUCAACUCCU